AACUCAAAGGAAUUGACGGGGGCCCGCACAAGCGGUGGAUUAUGUGGUUUAAUUCGAUGAUACGCGAGGAACCUUACCAAGGCUUAAAUGGGAAUUGAUCGGUUUAGAAAUAGACCUUCCUUCGGGCAAUUUUCAAGGUGCUGCAUGGUUGUCGUCAGCUCGUGCCGUGAGGUGUUAGGUUAAGUCCUGCAACGAGCGCAACCCCUGUCACUAGUUGCCAUCAUUCAGUUGGGGACUCUAGUGAGACUGCCUACGCAAGUAGAGAGGAAGGUGGGGAUGACGUCAAAUCAUCACGGCCCUUACGCCUUGGGCCACACACGUAAUACAAUGGCCGGUACAGAGGGCAGCUACACAGCGAUGUGAUGCAAAUCUCGAAAGCCGGUCUCAGUUCGGAUUGGAGUCUGCAACUCGACUCUAUGAAGCUGGAAUCGCUAGUAAUCGCGCAUCAGCCAUGGCGCGGUGAAUACGUUCCCGGGCCUUGUGCACACCGCCCGUCAAGCCGUGGAAGUCUGGGGUACCUGAAGUCGGUGACCGUAAAAGGAGCUGCCUAGGGUAAAACAGGUAUCUAGGGCUAAGUCGUAACAAGGUAG
rnacentral:rRNA from 1 species